rnacentral:lncRNA from 1 species
UUGGAAAGAAUGGCCUCCCUGCUUCCGGCAGUUUCUUUUGAGCUGGUUCCCAGACUGAGCUAGAUUCUGACUUGUUGAUGUUCAACUGGGUUCCAGAGCACUCAGGUUUGGAGAAUUCCACCAAGAUUUGUACUUGGUGAUGACCUGGGGGGUAAAAUAGGGCUGUGUUUUCUUCUAAGGAAGAUCUUUCCCUCCACUUCACAGGCUUCUUGGGUCCUUCUUUCCUGUGAAUCGGAAUUUAUCCCAGGGGCAUGCUUCCACUUCCUGAUCAUUGCAAGGUGAAGUAGGUUUUCUUUUUCUUUAUUUUUUUUUCUGGUUAGGUGGUUUUGAUUUCAAAAGCAAUCUCCUCUGACAACUUUUCAUUAGCUGUUGAACAAAUGUGGCAGAUAUAAGUUAGAGCCAUGUGUUUGGCAACUCCAGGCUGGGGCCUGAAUUUCUCCUGGCUGUGGCCUCUGGUUUUAUUCCACUCAUCCAGCAGGUGGCACUAAAGACCCACUGACUCCACAGUCUCCAGCGUGUCCUAUGGGGAAAUUCAGGCCAGCUCAAGUUUACUUCCCGGUUUAGUCAGUUUCUUGCUAGUUGACAGACUCACCUGUGCAUUCUUAGUAUUUAUUCCAGAUUUUAUACCUAAGUGUUCUCAGAAAAGGUUACUGUAAGAUCUUAGGUAAGGGACAUCAGAUACCCUGCCUCCAAUACCUACCUUCAAUUCUGACUUCAAAGUGUGUGCAGAUGCAAAGAAUGGUAAACGUAAUGCUCUGUAUUCCUCUACCACAUUAUAUGCUAGGUGCUUGUUCUAAUGAAGCAGGUUUCACAGAGGCUUGGGGAAGGCCAGAUAGCUAGCCCAAGGUCACAAAGGUAGGAUAGGAUGGAACUCAAGUUUUCUGAUGCCAAGUUUUUGGGCUUGUGUAUUUGUGCUACCAAAGUGGGAAACAUUUAGAUUUAGCAGAAGUCUAGGACUUUCACACAAAGCAAAAGGACUUCUUUGUAGAUUUGGUCUUUAUUCAUUCAUUUAUUUCUGAACUUCUGCUAUAUACUGUGUACUCAGGGUGAAGAGGCAGAGGCCCCACCUAGUUCUUGCUUUUAGGGAGUUCAGACUCUAGAGGGGGAGGUGAUAGCACACACAAAGGCCCUUAAAAUACUGUGGAAGGACCAUGAUAAGAGUAAACUCAGAGGAAGGGCUGGGAGGUCAAGGAGAGCCCUCAAGGGAGACAGCCUCUAAGCUAGUCCUUAAGGACUUGGUCAGGCAAGUGGUGGGGGGGACGUCACCCAGCCUGAGGGAGCAGUGUAUACAAAGACCUCAGGUAUGAGAAGACUUGACGUAUUAGGGAGAACUGGCAAGGUACAGAGUGGGGAAAUGAAGUCCCGUAAACAAGGCACCUUGAACGUUAUGCCAACAGCUUGAAGGUUUCUUAAUAGGAAGGCAACACAGACACAUUUUCACUUCAAGAAGAUUCUUCUAGUUUCUGGUGGGGAGAAGUGGUAGGAGGCUGAAGGCAGGGAGGCCAGGCUGGUGGGGGCUGUCAGUUGUCCAGCAAGAGAGGACAGUGAUGGAGGUGGAGGGUGGUGGGCUGGUUGGGACUCCGUAGAGAAGGUAGGGCUGACAGGAGUGGGAAUGGAUUGCUGGUGAGAGUGGGGCAAGGGGAGGAGCCUCUGGGAUGACCUCAAGACCCUGGCUCCUGCAGCCAGAUGGAUGGAACAAUCUGUUAAGUGUGAGUGAUCUUCAUCAUUCAAAAGCACUUCUACAGCCAUUAUUUCAAGAAGACAGUGUUCCACAUUUCAGACGCACAUCUGUGUUCUCAGAGUUUGGGGUCUCCCAGGACUUUGUAGCCCUGCACCCUAAGAUGUGAAUGUUAUGCCUCCAGAGAACCCUCUGCUUGCCCUGUGCUCUCUUUUCUCUUAGAGCAGACACUCAGGAUGGUGCCUUCCUUGCACAGGGUGCCUGCAGUGGACACCCCAGGUGCCUCCUUUACACCCUUUCUCCUUUUUUUGGUGACUAGACCUUACCCAUAAAGCCUGUGGGCUUUGGGAAAAGCUCAUCCCAUCCCCCGAUAUAAGAGCCGGGCAUAGUUUCAGGCCUAACAUAGUGCUUAUAAUUGCAUUCUUUGGCCAUUAUAUCUGUUUCCUAGGCUUGCCAAAGCAAAUUACCAAAAAGUUAGUGGCUUAAGACUGCAGAAAUAUGUUCAUCGUCAGUGCUGGAGGCGGGGGCCAGAAGUCUGAAAUUAGGGUGUCAGCUGACUUUUCUCAAGUCUGUGUCUUGUCUGUCUAUCUUCUGGUGACGGUCAUCAUUCCUUGGCUUGUGGCUGGCUGCUCUUUCCGGUCAUUGCCAGUGUUCACAUGGCUUUCCACUUUCUUAUAAGAAUGCUUGGGAUUAGAUUUAGAACUCACUAGAUUAAUCUAAGAUAGACUUUUCUCAAGAGCCUUAAUGGCAUUUCAAAAAAGGUCACACUCACUGGUUCCAGAGGUGGGAAGGUAGCAUAAUGUUGCCUCUAAAUGGCAGAACAACAAAAUUGUAACCAGGAUGAUGUUGUUGAGCCCCAGUCCAGAGGAUGGCCUGCUCCUAGGCUUUCUGUGACAGAAGUCAGCAAACCCUCUUUAUUGCUUUAAUCCAAUUUGACACAGUUUGACCCCUGCCCACCCCAUCGCUAGCUGCUGAAGGUGCCCUAAUUGACACACAGUGUCCAUCUGGAGUCCUGUCUAAAGGCUGUUGAGUGUGGUAGAGAGAUGGUGGCAAAAGCCCGGAAGCCUUGGGCUCUACGUUGGUACUCUGAGUGACCUUGGGCAAGCCACCACUUUGCUGACCAUCAGUUUGAAUAUAAAUGGGCCCUUGUCCUUGCAAAAGGCUCUUCAAAAUGGAAGUCAGUGUGGUUUCUUUUGUUAUGGCCUCUGCAUUCCAAGAAAGACGUAAUAGAACUGGAAAAGGGCCAGACGCUGGAGUGAUGAAGGGCUUUGACCAUGAGGGCAGGAGCUCCAGAUAGAAUUGUGCAGGCUGAGGAGGGAAUGUAAUCCAAGUCCUCUGUAUGCUAACGCACCCUGGCAAGGCGGAACAGGCCUUGUUCACCAGAUUCCAGGGUCCUUAGAAGCUCAGAGAGGUACUUCUAAAAGUUUGAGAAGUUGUUUUAGGGCAAACAAUAGAAAGCGCUGUUUUACAGGGUGGAGAGGUGAACUUGAGGUGUACUUCCCGCUCCAGCCUCGUGAUCGUGAGCAAACCUUUUCACCGAGUCUGAGAUUGCUCAUUAGUAGUUUUGGGGGUUAUAAAUCUGUUAGUCAACCAGCAGGGAAUUUAUGCAGACUAACCACUGCUCUACCCACCCACCAGCACGGGCACCCCUCUGACUCCAUUUCCUGCUUUUUACUAUAGACGAUUUACUGCAGACGGGUGAAUGCAUGAGGUCUCAUUUUCUGUCCUUGCUCCAGGACUGCUCAAGUGACUCUCCUGUCUCCUGCAUCACCUAUUACCCGCUCUCUACCAGAUAGUGCUCAGGUGUUUAUCUUAGUUACUUAUGUUAUUUCGUGCUGGGGAUUUAACCAGGGAAGCUUUACCAUUGAGCAACAUACCCAGCCCUUUUUGUGUUUUGAGAUAGAGUCUUGCUAAGUUGUUCAGGCUGUGGCCUCUAACUUCUAAUCCUCCUGCCUCAGCCUUGCAAGUCUCUGGGAUUACAGGAGUGUGCCACUUCCCCCAGCCUCUGAAAUGUUUCAAAAAUGCUAUCAUUUUUCCCAUCUUAAAAUAAUUUUCCCUUAAUUCUACUUUCCCCUCUAGCUACUGCCCCACUUUCUCAGCAAAACUCCUUGAAAGAAUCAUCUGUACUCAUUGUCUUUUCUAGCUCAGUGAAUUUUUUUUUUUUUUUUUUUGCUUAGUGAAUCUUCACAAAUUGAACAUACCUAUAUAACUACUACCCAGAUUUUAUAAAAGAAUAUUACCAGUACCCCAGGAACUCUACACCCCUUCAUGCCCCAAUUAACUACUAUCCUGAUUUAUUAUGCCAUACAUUUGGUUUAUGUUUUUAAUUUUACUGUAAAAUAUAUACCACAUGGGGCUGGGGUUGUAGCUCAGUGGUAGAACGCUUGCCUAGCACACAUGAGGCACUGGGUUCAAUCCUCAAUACCACAUGAAAAAAAUUAAUAAACUAAAGAUAUUGUGUCCAUCUACAACUAAAAAUAUCUUUAAAAAUGUAUAACAUAAAAUUUAUCAUUUCAACUACUUUAAAGUGUACAAUUUACUGGUGUUUUGUACAUUUACAAUGUUGUGCGACCAUUACCAUUCACAGUUUCAGAAUGUUUUCAUCACUUCAGAAGAAAAACCCAAGCCAUCCCAGGUACUCAGGAGGCUGAGUUAGGAGGAUCACAAGUUUGAGGCCAGCCUCAGCAACUAAGUGAGACCCUGUCUCAAGAUUUAAAAAAUGCUAGAAAUGUAGCACAGUGGUAGAACACUUGCCUGGCAGCUUGCAUGAAGCCCUAAGUUCAAUUUCUUAGCACUGCCCCCUACCCCUGCAAAAAAAGAGAAAGAAAACCCAUACUUAUUUGUAGCCAUUCUCCAGUCCCCAUUCUUUUCAACCUCUUGCAACCUCACUAGUCUGCUUUGAAUUUCUAUGGACUUGCCUAUUCUGGAUGUUUCAUAUAAAUGGAAUCAUGUCAUAUAUGGCCUUCUGUGUCUGGUUUCCUUCACUCAGCAUAUUUUCAAGGUUCAUCCAUGUUGUAGAAUGUAGCAGUACUCCAUGCUUUGUUAAGGCUGAAUAAUAUUCCUUGUAUGAUUGUACCAUAUUUUGUUUAACCGUUUCUCCAUCCAUGGACAUUGGAUUGUUUUGACCCUUGGCUAUUGUGAAUAGUGCUGCUAUGAAUAUUAAUGUCCAGUUUUUUUUAAUAUUUUAUUGGACACACCUUUAUUUAUUAUUUAUUUUUUUAUGUGGUGCUGAGGAUUGAACCCUGGGCCUCGCACGUGCUAGACAAGUGCUCUACUUCUGAGUCACAAUCCCAGCCCCUUAAUGUCCAGGUUUUUGUUUGAAUACUAGUUUGGUCUGUUUUUAAACUUUAAACAAGUUCUUAUAUUCUUUUUUUGUCUGACUUUAUAGUCUGCCAAUAUCAAAAUCAUUGUAUGCGACUCCUCCAUGUUGUUGCACGUAACAGUAGUUUGUUCAUUUUCGUUCAUGUCACUAUAUGACUGUGUGGCCAUUUGGCUAAUCUGGUUUUUUUUGUGUGUGUGUGGGGGGUACCAGGUAUUGAACCUGGGGGCACUUAACCAAUGAGCCACACCCCCAUUUUAUAUUUUAUUUAGAGACAGGGUCUCCCUGAGUUGCUCAGGGCCUUGCUAAGUUGUUGAGGCUGCUUUGAACUCACAGUCCUCCUUCCUCAGCCUCCUAAACUACUGGGAUUACAGAUGUGCCCCACCACACGUGGCUAAUCUACUGUUGAAGGGUUCUCUGCAGUUUGGAGUUAUGCUGCUAUGCUAAUGCUGCCGUGGAUGUUCUCCUUCGUGUCUUCUGAUGAACCCAGGUAUAGCUUGCUACUGGAGGGAUGCUACUAGGAGUGGAAUUGCUGGCCACAGAUUGUGCAUGGUACCUUUUGUAGGUACCGCUAAAGGAUUUCCCCAGGCCUUCCUAUUUUCACUCCCACAGGAGUGUGUGGAAGUCACGUUUGCUGCCCAUCUUUGCCAACACAUGGCUUUUGGUCUUUGCUUUUGAUCUUACUUUGCUGGCAUAUGGUUGUCUCCUCUGGGUUUACCUUGAUCCAGGUGCUCCCCUCAUCCAUUGCACCCUUGCUUUUGCCAGUGGUCAGCGCUCAGUCCCCAUCUCACUGACCAACCUAUAGCCAGUGGCAGAUUUGCACACCCACCUGCCUCAGCGUAGCUCCUAGGGCCCCCUCUCCUGGCCUUCCUUCUCCAUACUGGCUGCUCCUUCUCAGCCACCCCACUUCUCCAUGGUUGUUCUUUUCUGACCUCUGACUGUUAGGUGACCCUCAGGGCUCAGGACCUGAUCUCCCUUCUCUCUAACUCAUCCCUCCAGCGAUCACAAACAGCACCACGGCUUCUCGUACCAUCCCUAUACUGGGAUCACCCCAUUUAUAUAAUUGCAAACUUGACACGUCCCCUCAGAUGUUUAGUAGAUAUCUCAAAUUUGGCAGAACAACUUCUCUUUCUCCAAAACUGCUCUCUGUCUCAGUUGAUGGCAACUUUUCCAGAAAAGUCAUCCUGAGCUUCCCUUUUGUUCAUACCUCGCAGCCAAUCUCAGGAGCCUAAUUGCUCUUGUACUCCAAUGCGUCCAAAUAUGGCUGCAUCCCACUCCUGCCUUCCAUGCCAGAGCCGCCAGCAAUUUUCACCUGGAUUUUUGGAAUAACUUGCUGUCCAGUCUUCCUGCUUCUUGUCAUGAAUUUCAGCCCAGAAGCCAGGUGGUGCUUUUCGUGUUAAGGCCAUCUUCUUCCCCUGCUCACUCUACUCCAGCGGCUCCACAUUUCAGAGGAGGAACUAAGGUUUGCAAUGGCCACCAGGCCUCGUGCAGCCGCCUCCUGUAUUUAUCUCCUGCUUCUCCUUGGCUUCUUCACACCACACCCUCAGGCCUUCUCCUGUUCCAGGACCAAGCCAGGCAUGUCCCUGCCUUAGGGCCUUCAAGGUGGUUCUUCUCUUGCCUGCCUGGACACUCUUCCCCCAGGUCUUCUCAUAGCUAAAUCCCUUUCCCCCAAAGCCUCGCUCAACGGCCUUGAGGAUUUCUGCUUAGUAUCUGUGAUCUUGAAAACUGGCUUGUGGUCUACAUGAGGCUCCAGUGUUUUUCUUUCCUUCACUUUCAAAGUCUGACAGGGGCCAUUUUCCUCAUGUUUUUUGAGGAUGUGCAUUUAUUUCUGACCUGCCAUUGAAGAUGUGUCCUGACUCUGUUGGCGGGUUCUCCUGGUGGGUUCUCCAUCUUGGUGGGGCUUGGGUUCAUCUCUCCCAUGCGCUGGGAGGCCUCAGAUGCUGAAGUUCGAGAUCACUUGGCCGUGGUGCAUUUCUUUGGGGAGAAAGCCAGCUUCCACAUCCUCCCCGAGUUCCCUUCUUUUUUUGGCCUGUGACUAUUCUUUUCUUUUUUUUUAAAUACCUUUAUUUUAUUUUUAUGUGGUGUUGGGGAUCAAACUCAGUGCUUCAUGCAUGCUAGGCAAGCUCUCUGCCACUGAGCCACAAUUCCAGCCCCUGCGACUAUUCUUAACCCUUCUGUCAGCUCAUUUGCUGCUGUGAAGGAUUAGAAACUUUUCAUCCAGCAUUUUUAAUGUUUUCAGCAGGAAGCAGAUCAGAGUGUCCAGUUUGUUCUGUUGUCAGAAACAGGAGUCCGUUGACUGUGUGCUGGAGGAAGGAAGUGUGUGACUGGAGAGGUGGACAGGUCCAGGACGACUCAGCCCCAAUCCCAGCUCUGCCUUCACCAACUGUGGUCUUAGGAAAGUCCCUGUCCCCUCUGGGCUUCAGCUGCCUACUUGGUAAAAUGAGGGCUGGGGGGUAGGGUGGCCUCAACGAGGCUGUGAUUCCUGGCUGUGGGUUUUCUGUGUCUCUGUCUUGAGGGAGUUUAUGCAUGUGUGAGGAAAAACUCUCAGUUCAGGUGGCCUUUCGGGUAUUCUCAGUGACCUGCCAGGCCCUGCGUCUGGUUCAGAAGAGAUGGCAGCUGGGCACCAUGGCACACACCUGAAAUCCCAGUGACUCAGAAGCUGAAGCAGGAGGAUCACAAGUCCAAGGCCAGCCUCAGCAACUUAUCAAAGCCCUGUCUCAAAAUAAGAAAGAAAAGAAGAGCAGAUUUAGAAUGUCAGAGGUAAAAAAUAUAAAAUAAGGAACAAUUGAUUCCCAAAGAUCUGAGAGAGGAAGCCAGGUGUGGUGGUACAUACCUGUAAUCCCAGAGAUUUGAGAAGCUGAAACGGGAGGAUGACAAGUUCAAGGCCAGCCUGGGCAACUUAUCAAAGCCCUGUUUCAAAAAAUAAAAAGGGCUGGGGUGGAACUCAGUGGUGGAGGGCUCCUGGGUUCAAUACUUUUUACUGCAAAACAAAACAAAACUAAAUACAACUGGGGUGAGAGGGACAUAGAGAAAAGAGAUGUGACACAUGACACGAGGGUCCCUGUUUUGGGUUGAUACUUGGGAACAGGAGUUUGGACACAGUGAGUUUGUGUGGGGUAAGGAUCUUCCACUAAAUCUCUGGAAAGGAGGAUCCUAAAGAUAGAAAUCAUUGCCUUCCUCCUUCCUUUCUUUAGUCUCCUUUGUUUGAAAAAUAUAUGUGUGUCUACACAAUUUUAAUAGAUUUUAUUAAGUAGAUGCACAGCAAUGUGAAAUGUACUCACUGUCACUGAAAUGUGAGAUUAAAAAUAGUACCAUGGUAAAUCUUAUGUCAUGACUGUUUUGCCACAGUAUAAAAAAAAUCAAACAAAACAGAAACAACUGAGAAAAAUCUGAGAAACCGCCACAGUUUCCAUAUAUGCCUCACCAGGUUCCCUAUAUAUGGGGCCAGUGUAACGAAGAAUAAUAAAAAUGAAUCCCCAUGCACAGAACUCAACUUAACCCAGAUAAUGUUUAUCAUCCUAGAAACCCACAUGCUCCCUCCAAUGUCUCUUUCCCCUCACCCCUUGCAGAUAACCACUAUCCCAAAUGCUGUGUCAUUUUCUUGCCUUUCUUUAGAGUUUUAUCGCAUAGGCUUAUAUCCCAGAUGUCAGAAUGUUAUUCAGUCUGGAGAGUUUGGGUGCUUCUAUUGAAGGAAAUCACAUUGCAUAUAUCAGGUCAUAAUUUGCUUUUUUUCCCACCAACAUUGUGUUUGUGGGAUUCCUUCAUGCAACUGUAGUUCUUUCACUUUUAUGGCUGCAGACUAAGGUCUGGAUACAACAUACAUUUUCUAAUCCAGUCUCAUGUCUAUGGGUGUUUGAGCUGUUUGUGGUUUUUAUUUUUAUGAGCUGUCUGAGCCUAUGUUGUAGGAGAGCUUCUCUAGGUACAUUAUGGAGAGUAGAAUUAGUGCCUCAUAGAGUGUGUGUACUUGAUAAUGCCCACUGUUUUCCAAAGGUGUGGGGCAUCUGCACUCCCACCAGCAGUGUAUGGGACGUCCAGUACUCCAUCUCUUCAGAGCUCUCUGGUGCUGGCCUGUGUCCCACCUCAGUUGUGUGUGUCCAUAUCUCAGAGGCCCUUGGCCAUACUCAGGCCUCACUUGGCCUCUGUCUCGAGUACCUCUGGUUUGUUUAGCCAGCCCAACACCAACCCCUGGCUGACCCGAACUUCCUGCUUUCCUGAGAGUUUGAGCCCUUGAUUGGAUUGUUGGCUGAGGCUCUGGGUCCAGGCACAGAGCUCCAGCCAUGGCUCUGAAUUCUGGGUUCCAGGAGGGCCCUGUAGACCCGAGGGGGUCAAGGAGGUUAGACGUCAUUUUCUCAUGCUAAGCCAGGUAGCAUUGGAAUUUUCCACCAUAGAGGAGAUGUGUUGUCCGUCUUCUCCUCUGGCUCUUCCCACCCUGCUGAUAGGAAUCCUUAAGAGAGAUUUAACAACUUUUCUUGAGGCCUUUUGGCAGGUUAGCACCGGCACUGUCAGUGCUGGCAGGAGGACAUGACAUCUGUGCUGGCCCUAGGCCAGGCCACAUGGACGUCUCUGUGCGUGAUGCCAGCUCAUCCUGGCCAGGGCCUCAGGUGUGCUGGUGUACAGAUCCAGGGCCUGCCCGGCUCAGGACAGCCCCAGAGCCCACCUCCUAUUGUCUUCAUCUUCCUGCCAGACAUUCCUUUUUAGAUCUUGGCUACCCUCUGUCCCAAGCUCAGAGUUUCUGGGUUUUUCCUCAUGGUAAUCAGGACAGCAGUAUGGCUACCCACACAGACCAGUGGCUACAACACCAACCCACCUGGCUUAGAAUCUCAGUUCUACCUCUUUCUGCCUUAGGCAUCUAGUGUGACUUGAUAGCUUAGCUGCUAUGUCCUUGUGGGCCUUAUAUACAUGCACUGGGUUAUUAAAUGAGAAAAUGGGUAUAAAGUGUUAGUAUUCUUUCUGAUACAUGUAGGACAUCAAGAAAUGUUUUGCAUAGUUACGGUGAUGUGGAAAGAACUGAGCUUAGAGCUGGGAAGACCUGGUUUUCAAUCAUGCUACUGCCACCUCUUAGUUGUGUCUUGCAAUCUGUCUAAGCCUCCGUUUUCCCUGUUUGCCAAAUGGCAGUAAGGAUUUCUACUUCAUUUGGUUGUAAAAGACAAAAAGUGGUUUGCUUGAUAAAUAUUAGUGACUAUUUCUAUAUGAGAUGCAGGGGCUUUAUUUCCUAAAAAAGGAUAGAGACAAAGUGAUAUAAAAAAAGAAUCAAUUUCUUGGGAUAGCCCAGACUUCAUAGUUUAAAGUACAUGGACAUUGUUUUAAAAAGAGAAUAUAUUAUAAACACUUUGGAAAAGAAAAAGGAAGAUAAAAUGAAACCCCCUCACAAUCCCACCAUCUAAACACGAGCACCCCGCCUGUUGGUAUCCUUCCCAGGUUUUUCACGUGUAUUUUAUUAAGAGAUCAUAAUUAUAGGAUACAUGCAGUUUUGUAUUCUUUCUCUAGUACUAAAUGCUGUAUCAUAAACAUUUUCUCAUGUUUCUACGUGCUAUUUGUAAUUGUAAUCUUUUAUGGCUGCAUACUGUUCUUAAUUAAGAUCUUUAUGCAUAAAGUUCUCCACUAUUUCACAUUUUUUUUCCCCCCUGAGGAUUCCAGAAGUCAAAUUGCUGGGUCAAAUUACUUUUUAUAGCUUCAGAAUCAUAUAGGCAAAUUGCUUUUCAAAAAGGUGGUAUCCAUUUAUAAUGCAUUCAGGCCCAAUAUUGCUCAUUCAGUGGCAACUUCAUUGAUAUCGGGUAUUACAGACACCAUUUUCUUUGGGUUGAUUUAUGAGCAUUGUCUCAUCUUCAUCAGAGCAGUUGCCAGUCAGAAGAAGUAAAGAGGAGUUAAGAAACCACAAGAAACUUUAUUGAUGCAGACUCAUGGAGUUCAAAGAGACCUUGAGCAAUGCAUUUCCUUCUUAUUUUCUCUGAUUUUACUUGCUGCAUUUGGAUUAUAAAGACAUAUAUAAUAAUAUAUAUAUGUAAUACUAUAAUAAUAUAGUCUAUUAUUUAUUUUUUAUUUUUUUGGAUACCAGGGAUUGAACUCAGGGGCACUUGACCACUGAGCCACAUCCCUAGCCCCAUUUUGUGUUUUAUUUAGAGACAAGGUUUCACUGAAUUGCUUAGUGCCUUGGUUUUGCUGAGGCUAGCUUUGAAUGCCCCAUCUUCCUACUUCAGCCUCCUGAGCCACUGAGAUUACAGGCGUGAGCCAGCCACUGUUCCUGGCUUCAAUCUUGUUUUAAAAGAAAGUUUUUCUUAAAAGAAAGGCUGAAAAAAAAUCUUUCAAAGCCACUUGCAUUUUGUUUACCCUGAGCUGAACAAGACAUCAUUUGUAAUUGCUGAAAGAUACUCUGUAGAGAGGACUUACCACAGUGUAUCUUGCCAUUCUUUUAUGUUCUUUCUAAAUUUUCCUUAUUAUUAAUAAUACUAUAGUGAACAUCUUUUUGCAUAAACCUCUAAUUUUUUUGGAUUGGUUGCUUAGAAACAAUUCUUGGAAAUGAAAUUUAUGGAUCAAAGGGCAUUCAUAUUUUACUUUAUUUAUUUUGGCAUUUUAAAGACAGGGUGCCAAAUUGCUCUAAGGCUUAUGCUAGUUUAUGACCCCACCAACAAUGUAGAAAUGUGUUCAAUUCACUUUCCAUUGCCAGCAGUGGCUUCCCAUAUUUAAAAAAAAAAAAAAAUCUCCCAGUAUGCAGCUUCUGUAGAUUUAUGUCGUGCUCUAAUCCAGUGUUAAUCUAACCUUAAAAGCUAGGAGACUUUUCCCCCUUUGAGUUGCAAACCAAAUCCUUCCUGUCAAUUUGAGGCUUGGCUUUAUUCUGUAAGGACUUAGAGUUCUGCAUUGGAGAUGUCAACUUCUAUUUUCCUUUCUUUGUAAAACCUCAUGGCCAAGUUUGCAUGAAUUGGUAUAGAAGAAAAACAUUGCCAUUGUUCCAAGAAGUGCUUCAGUAUUUCUCUGCUGGAUUAUGGGUUGGAAGAGUUAUCCAUGGCCAUGGAAGGGAGGGGCAGCUCAGGUGUUGGGCUCUGCCAUCUGAUUCACUGACUGGGAUGUGACAAAAUCAGUGAGGGUGGCCUUGGGGAAGAGUUCUGUGUGUUGGGCUGUGUCAGAACAGGUACUACCUGGAAGAGUAGAUAUUUUGUCUCUCAACAUCUCUUUUCUUUUUCUGGUAAUCAAGGGUUCUCUCUCUCUCUCUCUCUCUCUCUCCAACUACUGUAUCCUGAUCUAACCCUGGCCUUUCCUUUUUGGCUAGAAAUCCCUUUUCCUCUUGGCUAGAAUGAUUGACUCAUGAGUGGGCACUUGACUCAAGAAUGACCAGCCCAGUCCUUCAUGGGAUUUGACCUAGGAAUGCUGACAUACACUAUAUUCCCAUGAAGCUUGGUAAACCGGGAUGAUUUAGGUUGAAGGCUGUGGUACUUCUCUAGUCCCAUCAUGUGGAAAAAGUGACUUGCACCUGCAAUUGAAGCCUGGGACUAUGAAACUAAGGAAAAGCAAACAAAGAUGUGGCAGGGGAGGUGGAAAGGGAUGGUCUCCAUGCCAAGCCAUGAAUGCUGGUCUGGAUUGGAUUUCAUUUUGCCUUUACAAUGGAAAAAUUCUAGUGCACCUGGAGGGGCCAGAGAGCUUAUAUGUAAGAGAUAAGCACAGAAGGUUCUAGAAAGAGGGAGCCAAGGGUUUGUAUUAGAGGAAAAUAUCGGUUGUCAGAUUCAAACAUUGCAGGUAUUUGAGACGAUAGGCUGGAGCAAGGUAAGAAUCGGUUGCUGGGAAUAUGAGGAGCAUGUCGGGAAGUACAAAGCUAAAGAAGAGAAGGGCGUUUGCUGCAUUUAUCUGGGUACGUGGUGAUCUUGAGCCACACUGGCGGUGGGAUGGAGAGGGAGCGAUGGUUGCAGGAGAAUUGCAGAGGAAGAAUUCUUAGGGCUUAGUGACCUGUUGGCUAACUGUGUUCCUCUGCUCAUGUUGCCAUAACAAAAUACCACAGAUGGGGGCCUGAACAGCAGAAAUUUGGUUUCUCACAGUUCUGGAGGCUGGGACGUUCAAGAUGAAGGUGCCGGCAGGGUGGGUUUCGGAUGAGGCCUUUCCGUUCAUCUUGCAGAUGGUGCUUUCUCAUCCUUACAUGGCCUUUUUCCACCUCUGGUCAUGUGGGAGAGCAAUCUCUGGUGUUUCUUUCUAGUUCCAUGGUAGACACCAGGCCUGUGAAGCUAGGACCCCAUCUUUUUUUUUUUUUUUUUGAAAGAGAGAGAGAGAGAGAGAGAGAGAGAGAGAGAGAGAGAAUUUUUUAAUAUUUAUUUUUUAGUUUUCAGUGGACACAACAUCUUUAUUUUAUUUUUAUGUGGUGCUGAGGAUAGAACCCAGUGCCUCACACAUGUGAGGCAGGCACUCUACCACUGAGCUAUAGCCCCAGCUCUAAAUAUAUUCUUUUUAAAAAAAGUUUUUAGUUGUAGAUGGACACAAUACUGCCGCAGUCUGGCUGGGCACAAAUCACGAGCCACUCAAGAGGAACAAACUUUAUUUCUGAACUCCACCAGCACACUCCACACACGCUCCCCAGGAACUCUCCCGAACGCCAUGCGGCUCCUCCAGGAACCACCAACUAGAAAUCCCUCCUCUGGCACUUCCCCAACCAAUGUGAACUCUUCAGGAAUCCCCGCGAGAGCUCCUUGAGAACUCAAAAGUCAUCAUCUUAAUGGCUCGCUGGUGUCACCUCUCAAACACUACUUCUGGCAAAAAUGCCAUGCGUCAUCCCGACUCUGCUGUGGCCCUCAACACAAUACCUUUAUUUUAUUUAUUUAUUUUUAUGUGGUGCUGUGGAUUGAACCCAGGGCCUCGCAGGUGCUGGGUGAGCGUUCUACCACUGAGACAAACCCCAGCUCCUAAAUAAAUAUAUUCUUUAUAAUAUAAAAUAUAUUAUAAGCAUUUUCUCAUACUGCUAUAGUUUUCAUAGCUACCAUUUUUAAAGUAUUUUUUUAGUUGUUGAUGGACCUUUAUUUUUUAUUUAUUUAUAUGUGGUACUGAGAAUUGAACCCAGUGCCUCACACAUGCCAGGCAAGUGCUCUGCCCCUGAGCCACAACCCUAGCCCUUCAUAACUACCAUUUUUUAAAAAAAAAAUUUUUUGGUUGUUGAUGGACCUUUAUUUUUUUAAAAUUUAUUUUAUGUGGUGCUGAGAAUUGAACCCAGGACCUCACAUGUGCAAGGCAAGUGCUCUACCGCUGAGCCACAACCCCAGCCCCAUAACUAGUCUUUUCAAAGGCUGCAGUGCACUCCUGAUUCUAUUCUAGUAUUGCUCGUCUUUCUCUUACCUAGUUGUCAUUGGCUAGCCAACGAGUCAGUCGUAAGCCCCAUCCACCUUCCUUCGUUCCUUGUCACUGCAUCUUCCCCCCCCCCCAGCCACCUAUCUUAAGAUCAGGUCAUUGUGUGAUGGGGGCUUCCUCACUGGCCAACUGUCUCCUGCCACUAGUAGUACCCACUGCAUUCACCUGACACAGAGGAGACAAUGAAAUUUAAGGCUGUGUUUUUUAAUGGUACUCAUUCACUCUUAACAUUGACAGGCUCUAAAGUCACACUCUUCAGCUAGGCACUGGAAGUCUUCCACAGUCCAGCAUUAACGCAGCUUAUUUACUCCCACCCUUCCACCUCACUCUGUUUCUCUCUUCUAUCCUUUCUUCCUCCCUCCCUCCUUCCUUUCCAUCCUGUCUUCCUUCCUUCUCUCAGUACUAGGGACUGAACUCAGGGGCUGAGCUAUAUCCUCAGCCCUUUUUAUUCUUUGAGACAAGGUCUCACUAAGUUGCCAAGGCUGAUCAUGAACUUGGGAUCCUCCUGCCUCAGCCUCCUGAGCUGCUCAGAUUACAGUUGUGUGCCAUGGCUCCUGGCUAUGAUUAUCUUUUAGAAAAAUUAUUUAUUUGGGGAUGGGGUUGUAGCUCAGUGGUAGAGUGCCUGCCUCGCAUGUGUGAGGCACUGGGUUUGAACCUUAGCACCACAUAAAAAUAAAUAAAUAAGCUGGGUGCAGUGGUGAACUCCUGUAAUCCCAGUGGCUUGGGAGGCUGAAGCAGGAGGAUUGCGAGUUCAAAGCCAGCUCAGCAACAGUGAGGUGCUAAGCAACUCAGACCCUGUCUCCAAAUAAAAAAUAUAAAAUAGGGCUGGGGAUGUGGCUCAGUAGUCGGGUGCCCCUGAGUUUAAUCCCUGGAAUUCCCCUCCGCAAAAAAAAAAUAAAAAAAAAAGAACUAAUAGAUGAUGUUUAAAAAAUGUUUAUUUAAUUUGGUGCUAUUUAUAUAAAUUCAGUGAUUUUUGUAUAUUGAUUUUUUUUAUUAAGUAAUAUACAAUAAAACUAAUAAUUUCUCCAUAGAUUUUUGUGUUUUCUAUGAAGCCAAUAUUAUAUAUGAGUAAUGAAUGUUUAUUUCAUUUUUCUAAUUCUUAUACCUUUGUUUCUCUCACCUAAUAUAAUGUUGAAUACAAAGGCUAUAGUGGGAAUUAUUUUCUUUGGUCUGAAAGGGAAAAUAUUCAACUCUUCACCAUGAACUGGAAUUAUUGCUGCUGAUAUACAGUUUAGGAGGUAAGAGAUUCUAUUUUAGCUUCCUAAGGAUUUGUUUUUAUAUUUCUAUUUGUUAUAAAUGGAUAGUAAAAUUUAUUUUAAAAAUUUUUGUUUACUAAGAUAUGGUAUCUCUCCUUUAAUCUGUUAAAGUAAUAAAUUAGUGUUUUUCUUUUUCUUUUUCUUUUUUUCCCCAGUACUGAGAAUCUAGCCCAUGGAUGCUUUAUCUCUGAGCUACAUCGCUGGCCCUUUUCAGUUUUUGAGACAGGGUCUUACUAAGUUGCUGAGGCUGUCUUCAAACUUGGAAAUAAGCACAUAAAAAGAUGCUCAGGACUGGGGAUGUGGUUCAGUAGUAGAGCAUGUGCUUAGCAUGCAAGAGGUCCUGGGUUCCAUCUCUAGCACACGCACGCGCGCGCGCGCACGCACACACACACACACACACACACACACACAAAAGCUGUUAACAUCAUUGGUUAUCAGAGAAAUUCAAAUAGAACCACAAUGAGCAGCAUUAUACAUUCACUAGAAUGGCUCAGAUUUAAAAACUGGCUAGGCACAUUGGCUCAUGCCUGUAAUCCUAGUGGCUUGGGAGGCUGAGGCAGGCAGAUCACAAGUUCAAAGCCAGCCUCAGCACAAAAAGAGAAGCUUCAGCCUCCUGCAUUGCUGGGAUUACAGGCAUGCACCACUGCACCCCGCUCCACUGAUUAUUUAACCCAUAGCUUUAAAAAAUGUGCUUCUUCACUUCUAAACCCUUGGAUUUUUUUUCUAGGUUUCUGUUUGUAAUUGACUUCAGUUUUAAUUCUAUGGUGGUCAGAGAAAGUGGUCUAUAUAGAAUACCAGUCCUUAGAAGUUUGUUGAGAUUUGAAUUUAGUUACUCUCUGAAAUGUUUCAUGUUUUUCUAGGAAAAACACAUAUUCUGAAAUAAUUGGGUACAGUGGUAUCUAUCCCUUUAAAAAGUUAAAUAUCUUAUAUAUGAAAAAUCUUCUAAACUGUUUUCCAAAGAGUCAUCAUUUUACAUCCCACCAGCAUUGUAUGACAGUGCUAGUUGUUCCACAUCCCUUGUCAACACUUGGAAUAGUCAGUUUUUAAAUUUUUUUUUGUACCAGGGAUUGAACUCAGGGGCACUUGACCACAUGAGUUCACAAACAGUUCCACAGUGGUAAUGUUCUUUGGUCAUUGAUUGGAUCAAUGAAGUUGCUGCUGGGGCCUUACAGUAUCUGACAGAGCCUCCAUUUAGUGAGCACAUACUCUGUGCAGAGGCACUUUACAUGGUUUCUCUCAGGCCUCAUAACACCAUGAAGAGAUGGGGAAUAUAAUUCCCAUUUCCCAGCUAGGGAAACGGAGGCUCAGAGACAUGAAGCCACUUGCUUAAGCCAGGUGUGACCAGCUCCAGACUCAUGCCCUGUUGUCUAUGUUGGAGUCAAACUGAAUUGGAGGCCAUAAUUCUGCCUCAUUUUCCCCAGCAUUCCUAUUCCUGGGCUUCCUGAGAGGGUCUCAGCUGUCAGCCAGAUGGUUCUGAGGCCCAGGGCCUGCAGCUACCUCUGUAACCAGUUCCUUCCUCCUUGCAACAUGGUGAGUAGGUGAUAUAACCUCAGCAUGGAGAGGACUAUGUGUGUACACGUGUGUGUCCGUGUGUGCUGGCAACAGCAUAAAGGAAACAGCAUUAGUCUUCUCCAUUCCCACCAUCACAGCCUCAUCGACUCUUCCUUCACAUCUCUCAGGAAUGUGGACCCUUUCCACCCAGGGUACAGCACAUUUCUGAGAGGAAUCAUAAUAUCCCCCUUGUCCCUGUGCAUUGCCAGAGAGGUUUCUGGAAGCCAUUUUGGGGACUUGUCCUCAAAACACAUAAUGUCUAUAUAAUAUGGUAACAACUAGGUUAAAAAAAUCUUUUUUUUUUCCUCUUGUGUUGGAGAUCAAACCCACUGAGUAUACCUCCAGCCCCAUUAAAAAUAAGAUUGUAAAGGGGAAAAAAAAAAGCAAAGAAAUGUGGUUAUGAGUGUUUUUUUUUCCUUUAUUUUCAAAAUUUUCUGUACUGUGGCUUUCUUAUUUUUAUAAUUAAAUUUAUGAAAAAUGCAGUGGAUCGAACAAAUAAUCUGUUGCUUCUCUGUGAGAAACAAUAAUAAUACUGCAUUUCCAAGGAGGUUUUUAAAAAUUACCUUUAUAAUUAAAAUUUUGGUAGAAUCUACAUAAAAUUUACCGUCUUAAACCUUUUGAGGGUACAGUUCAUUGUCAUUAAGUACUUUCACGUGGUUGUGAAACCAUCAUCACUGUUCUUCCAGACUUUUUCAUUGUCCUAAACUGAAAUCCUAUAUCCACGGCUGUCCUUGCCCUCCUCCUUUAGCAGCCACCAUUCCGCCUCUGUGACUUUGAGCAUUUGAUACCUCUUGUAAAUGGGAUCAUACAAUUCUUGCCCUUUUGUGUGUGUGGCUUUUUUUACUUGACAUAAUGUCUUCGGAUUUUACCUUUGUCAUGGUAUAUAUUAAGGUUGGCUUCCUUCUUAAGGCUGAGUAAUAUCCCAAUUGUGUAUAUCUAUCUAUAGCUCUAUCUUUCUCUCCCUCUAUAUCUAUACCUUUACAUUACAUCUUGUUUUUCUCCAUUCAUCCAUCAAUGGCCAGUUGGGUUGUUUCUGCCUUUUGGCUAUUGUUUAAACUAAUGCUGCUAAGAAAUUGGUUUACAGAUAUUGAGUCCUUGCUUUCCAUUCUUUUGGAAUUGAAAUUCUAAAUCCCAAAUUGGAAUUCAAUUUCAAAUUCUUUUGGAAUGUGCUUAGAAGUGGAAUUGCUGCCAAGGAGCAUUCUAGAACUCAUUUCUGGAACUUUUGAUAGUUUAAAUGGUUACUGGGGAUUGAACCCAGGAGUGCUUAACCACUGAACCUCAUCCCAGCCCCUUUUAUUUUUUAUUUUUUUUAGUUGAUGGAUACUAUACCUUUAUUUUAUUUAUUUAUUUUUAUGUGGUGCUGAGGUUUGAAACCAGUGCCUCACACUUGCUAGGCAAGCACUCUGCCACUGAGCCCCAACUGCAGCCUCCCCAGCCCUUUUUAUUUAUUAUUAUUAUUUUUAUUUAUUAAUUUUUAAAGUUUUGGAUAUUUAUUUUUUAGUUGUAAAAUAAAUAUUAUUUAUUUUUAUGUGAUGCUGAGGAUCGAACCCAGGGCCUUGCACGUGCUAGGCGAGUGCUCUACCACUGAGCCACAACCCCAGCCCCCUUUAUUUUUUAUUUUGAGACAGGGUCUCACUAAUUGCUCAGGGCUUUGGUAAGUUGCUGAGGCUGGCACUGAGGUUGGUUAUCACCUCCAACAAUCUUUUACUCUGAUUCCACCUCUCCUUCCUGGAGGACCUCGAGCGACAUCAGGAGUCACUAUUGAUGAGAAGAUGGGUGAAUGUUUCUGAGAUUUUGUUUAAUCUUCAGAAAGUUAUAGUUAAUGAUUUCCACAUCAAGGGUUGCCCAGCAUACCACCAAUUUUGAAUUUAAAGCAGAGCAAAUAAAUGUGAACAAAUAAAUGUGUUUUGUUCAUAAAAAUUGUGCUUAUAAUUGUGGUAUAUAUACACAAUGGAAAGUUACUCAGCCAUAAAGAAGAAUGACUUUAUGACAUUUGCCAGUAAAUGGAUGGAUCUGGAGACUGUCAUGCUAAGUGAAAUAAGCCAGCCCCCAAAACCAAAGGUCAAAUGUUUUUGCUGAUGUGUGGAUGCUAACCCACACUAAAGUAGGGGGGGAGAGGAAGAAGAGAAGUUCAUAGAUUAGACAAAGGGGAAUGAAUGGAAGGGAGGGGGAUUAGGCAGAGGAAAGACAGUAGAAUAAAUCUAACAUAAUUUUCCUAUGUACACAUAUGAAAAUACCUAAGUAACUCCCACCGUCGUGCCUACCCACAAGAAUGAGGUCCUAAUUAGAAUAAUAUAUAUCCCAUGCUUGUAUAAUUUUAUCAAAAUACAUUCUACUGUCAUGUAUAAGUAGGAAGAACCAAUAAAAAAAUGGAAUUGAAAUACAGGGAAAAAAUCAUGUUUACUACUCAGUAAUUAUGUGAUUUUACUUAAUCAAAUAAUCUUUGCUUCAAGUGUUUCCUAGCCAAGUAUAAAAUGUCUUGAGAAGUACAAAAAUGAUAGAAGAUGUGAAAGAACUCUGAGAAACGUAGAAGAAACACCAAUGAAAGAUUGGAGAUGAAAGACUGCAAUGUGGAAGCCAAGCCAUACAUUAAGAAAGAUGGACAGACAGUGUUGGAAAAAGAACAGCAACUCCUGGGUACAAGAUGACUGUUCCCUAGAAAUGCUGGUUGGGUAAUCAGUAGUCUGACUAAUGUGGAAGAUCACAGCCCAGUAAAAAUGUGUUAUGGCUGAGUGUCUUGCAGUGCAAGCUGGUGCAAAUUAAGUGCUAAACACAUAAAAUAAAUAUAUGAAACUAGUUGUAUGUGCUGUAACUCACACUGCUGCAGGAGCU